rnacentral:rRNA from 1 species
UUAAGCGACUAAGCGUACACGGUGGAUGCCCUGGCAGUCAGAGGCGAUGAAGGACGUGCUAAUCUGCGAUAAGCGUCGGUAAGGUGAUAUGAACCGUUAUAACCGGCGAUUUCCGAAUGGGGAAACCCAGUGUGUUUCGACACACUAUCAUUAACUGAAUCCAUAGGUUAAUGAGGCGAACCGGGGGAACUGAAACAUCUAAGUACCCCGAGGAAAAGAAAUCAACCGAGAUUCCCCCAGUAGCGGCGAGCGAACGGGGAGCAGCCCAGAGCCUGAAUCAGUGUGUGUGUUAGUGGAAGCGUCUGGAAAGGCGCGCGAUACAGGGUGACAGCCCCGUACACAAAAAUGCACAUACUGUGAGCUCGAUGAGUAGGGCGGGACACGUGGUAUCCUGUCUGAAUAUGGGGGGACCAUCCUCCAAGGCUAAAUACUCCUGACUGACCGAUAGUGAACCAGUACCGUGAGGGAAAGGCGAAAAGAACCCCGGCGAGGGGAGUGAAAAAGAACCUGAAACCGUGUACGUACAAGCAGUGGGAGCACGCUUAGGCGUGUGACUGCGUACCUUUUGUAUAAUGGGUCAGCGACUUAUAUUCUGUAGCAAGGUUAACCGAAUAGGGGAGCCGAAGGGAAACCGAGUCUUAACUGGGCGUUAAGUUGCAGGGUAUAGACCCGAAACCCGGUGAUCUAGCCAUGGGCAGGUUGAAGGUUGGGUAACACUAACUGGAGGACCGAACCGACUAAUGUUGAAAAAUUAGCGGAUGACUUGUGGCUGGGGGUGAAAGGCCAAUCAAACCGGGAGAUAGCUGGUUCUCCCCGAAAGCUAUUUAGGUAGCGCCUCGUGAAUUCAUCUCCGGGGGUAGAGCACUGUUUCGGCAAGGGGGUCAUCCCGACUUACCAACCCGAUGCAAACUGCGAAUACCGGAGAAUGUUAUCACGGGAGACACACGGCGGGUGCUAACGUCCGUCGUGAAGAGGGAAACAACCCAGACCGCCAGCUAAGGUCCCAAAGUCAUGGUUAAGUGGGAAACGAUGUGGGAAGGCCCAGACAGCCAGGAUGUUGGCUUAGAAGCAGCCAUCAUUUAAAGAAAGCGUAAUAGCUCACUGGUCGAGUCGGCCUGCGCGGAAGAUGUAACGGGGCUAAACCAUGCACCGAAGCUGCGGCAGCGACGCUUAUGCGUUGUUGGGUAGGGGAGCGUUCUGUAAGCCUGCGAAGGUGUGCUGUGAGGCAUGCUGGAGGUAUCAGAAGUGCGAAUGCUGACAUAAGUAACGAUAAAGCGGGUGAAAAGCCCGCUCGCCGGAAGACCAAGGGUUCCUGUCCAACGUUAAUCGGGGCAGGGUGAGUCGACCCCUAAGGCGAGGCCGAAAGGCGUAGUCGAUGGGAAACAGGUUAAUAUUCCUGUACUUGGUGUUACUGCGAAGGGGGGACGGAGAAGGCUAUGUUGGCCGGGCGACGGUUGUCCCGGUUUAAGCGUGUAGGCUGGUUUUCCAGGCAAAUCCGGAAAAUCAAGGCUGAGGCGUGAUGACGAGGCACUACGGUGCUGAAGCAACAAAUGCCCUGCUUCCAGGAAAAGCCUCUAAGCAUCAGGUAACAUCAAAUCGUACCCCAAACCGACACAGGUGGUCAGGUAGAGAAUACCAAGGCGCUUGAGAGAACUCGGGUGAAGGAACUAGGCAAAAUGGUGCCGUAACUUCGGGAGAAGGCACGCUGAUAUGUAGGUGAAGUCCCUCGCGGAUGGAGCUGAAAUCAGUCGAAGAUACCAGCUGGCUGCAACUGUUUAUUAAAAACACAGCACUGUGCAAACACGAAAGUGGACGUAUACGGUGUGACGCCUGCCCGGUGCCGGAAGGUUAAUUGAUGGGGUUAGCGCAAGCGAAGCUCUUGAUCGAAGCCCCGGUAAACGGCGGCCGUAACUAUAACGGUCCUAAGGUAGCGAAAUUCCUUGUCGGGUAAGUUCCGACCUGCACGAAUGGCGUAAUGAUGGCCAGGCUGUCUCCACCCGAGACUCAGUGAAAUUGAACUCGCUGUGAAGAUGCAGUGUACCCGCGGCAAGACGGAAAGACCCCGUGAACCUUUACUAUAGCUUGACACUGAACAUUGAGCCUUGAUGUGUAGGAUAGGUGGGAGGCUUUGAAGUGUGGACGCCAGUCUGCAUGGAGCCGACCUUGAAAUACCACCCUUUAAUGUUUGAUGUUCUAACGUUGACCCGUGAUCCGGGUUGCGGACAGUGUCUGGUGGGUAGUUUGACUGGGGCGGUCUCCUCCUAAAGAGUAACGGAGGAGCACGAAGGUUGGCUAAUCCUGGUCGGACAUCAGGAGGUUAGUGCAAUGGCAUAAGCCAGCUUGACUGCGAGCGUGACGGCGCGAGCAGGUGCGAAAGCAGGUCAUAGUGAUCCGGUGGUUCUGAAUGGAAGGGCCAUCGCUCAACGGAUAAAAGGUACUCCGGGGAUAACAGGCUGAUACCGCCCAAGAGUUCAUAUCGACGGCGGUGUUUGGCACCUCGAUGUCGGCUCAUCACAUCCUGGGGCUGAAGUAGGUCCCAAGGGUAUGGCUGUUCGCCAUUUAAAGUGGUACGCGAGCUGGGUUUAGAACGUCGUGAGACAGUUCGGUCCCUAUCUGCCGUGGGCGCUGGAGAACUGAGGGGGGCUGCUCCUAGUACGAGAGGACCGGAGUGGACGCAUCACUGGUGUUCGGGUUGUCAUGCCAAUGGCACUGCCCGGUAGCUAAAUGCGGAAGAGAUAAGUGCUGAAAGCAUCUAAGCACGAAACUUGCCCCGAGAUGAGUUCUCCCUGACUCCUUGAGAGUCCUGAAGGAACGUUGAAGACGACGACGUUGAUAGGCCGGGUGUGUAAGCGCAGCGAUGCGUUGAGCUAACCGGUACUAAUGAACCGUGAGGCUUAACCUU